UACGAAGGGUGCAAGCGUUAAUCGGAAUUACUGGGCGUAAAGGGUGCGUAGGCGGUUCGUUAAGUCUGCUGUGAAAUCCCCGAGCUCAACUUGGGAAUUGCAGUGGAUACUGGCAAGCUAGAGUAUGGUAGAGGAAGGUGGAAUUCCCGGUGUAGCAGUGAAAUGCGUAGAUAUCUGGAGGAAUACCGGUGGCGAAGGCGGCAUCCUGGACCGGCAUUGACGCUGAGGAGCGAAAGCUAGGGGAGCAAACGGG
rnacentral:rRNA from 1 species